CUUCUCCUCAUUGGUCCUGGGUCUCAAGUCCCGCCCCGCUGUCUUUUAUCUCAAUCCUCAUUGGCUGCCGCUCUGAGGGCUCAAAAAUGGCGGCGGCGGCGGCGCCGAGCGGCUGCGAACGGGCGCCGGAUUGGGGCGAGGCCGAAAACGCAUGCGCGGAGCUAGAAGGGGGCGUGGCCAGUGGGGACCACGCCCUGUGCGUGACGCCCCUUAGCGGAGAGAUGGAAGGGCGGGAAAAUGGCGGGAAAAGCGAGGGAAAUGGCGGGAAAAAUGAGGGAAAAGGCGGGAAAAGUAGGCGGGAGGAGGAAGAGGAGGAAGAGGAGAGGGAAAUUGGGGUGAAAAAGGGGGAAAACGGGGAAAAAAUGGAGGAAAAUGGAGGAAAAAUGGGGAAAAUGGAGAGUGAGGAAGAGGAGGAGGGAGAGGAGAGGAAGGAAAAUGGGGAAAAUUUAGGGAAAAAUGGGAAAAAUGAGGGGGAAAAGGGGGAAAUUGGGAGUGAGGAGGAAGAGGAGGUGAAGAAAAUUGGGGUGAAAAAGGGGAAAAAUGAGGAAAAAUUGGGGGAAAUUGGGGAGAAAAAGGGGAAAAUGGAGAGUGAGGAAGAGGAGGAAGAGGAGGAGGAAGAGGAGAGGAGGAAGAUUGGGGUGAAAAAAGGAAAAAAUGGGGAAAAAUCUGUGAAAAAUGAGGGGAAAAUGGGGAAAUUUGGGGUAAAAAGGAGGAAAAUUGAGAGUGAGGAGGAGGAGGAGGAAGAUGAGGAAGAGGAGAGGAAGAAAAAUGAGGUGAAAAAAGGAAAAAUCGGGGAAAAAUCUGGGAAAAAUGGGGCAAAAAAGGGGAAAAUGGAGAGUGAGGAAGAGGAAGAUGAGGAUGAGGAGGAGGAGGAGGAUGAGAGGAGAAAAAUUGGGGUGAAAAAGGGGAAAAAAGAGGAAAAAAUGGGGAAAAUUGGGGUAAAAAGGAGGAAAAUUGAGAGUGAGGAAGAGGAGGAGGAAGAUGAGGAGGAGGAGAAGAGGAAAAUUGGGGGGAAAAAUGGGGGGAAAUGGGGGAAAACAGAGGAAAAAAUGGGAAAAAUUGGGGCAAAAAAGGGGAAAAUGGAGAGUGAGGAAGAGGAGGAGGAAGAUGAAGAUGAAGACGAGGAAGAAACGAGGAAAAUUGGGGUGAAAAAGGGGAAAAAAGAGGAAAAAAUGGGGAAAAUUGGGGCAAAAAGGAAGAAAAUUGAGAGUGAGGAAGAGGAGGAGGAAGAUGAGGAGGAGGAAGAUGAGGAGGAGAGGAAGAAAAAUGGGGUGAAAAAAGGAAAAAAUGGGGGAAAAUCUGGGAGAAAGGAGGAAAAAAUGGGAAAAAAUGGGGCAAAAAGGAAGAAAAUUGAAAGUGAGGAAGAGGAGGAUGAAGAUGAGGAAGAGGAAGAGGAGGAGAGGAGGAAGAUUGGGGUGAAAAAGGGAAAAAUUGGGGAAAAACCUGGGAAAAAUGAGAAAAAAAUGGGGGAAAAUGGGGCAAAAAAGGGCAAAAUGGAGAGUGAGGAAGAGGAGGAGGAAGAUGAGGAGGAGGAAGAUCCAGGUGGGAAAAAUGGGAGGAAAAUGGGGAAAAAUGGGGAAAAAAUAGGAAAAAAGGAGCAAAAAAUGGGAAAAAAUGAGGCCAAAAAAGGCAAAAUGGAGAGUGAGGAAGAGGAGGAGGAAGAUGAGGAGGAGGAGGAGGAAGAGGAAGAUUCAGACUGGGAAAAUAUGAGGAAAAAAGGGAGAAAAAUGGGGAAAAAAACCCAAAAAACGGCCAAAAAUGGGGCCAAAAAAGCCAAAAUUGAGAGUGAGGAAGAAGAGGAGGAUGAAGAUGAGGAAGAUGAGGAGGAAGAGGAAGAUUCAGACCGGGAAAAUAAGGGGAAAAACGGGAAAAAAAAGGUGAAAAAACCCCAAAAAAUGGCCAAAAAUGGGGCUAAAAAAGGGAAAUUUGAGAGUGAGGAAGAGGAGGAGGAAGAGGAGGAGGAAGAAAAAGCCCAAAAAGCCCCGAAAAUGCCCCAAAAAUCCCCGAAAAUCGCCCAGAAUUCCUCGGGCUCGGAUUCGGAGGAUUUGCCGCUGGCGAAAUGGGCGGAAAAAACGGCAAAAACGGGAAAAGGAGGAAGAGGAGGAGAGGAGGAAGAGCAGGAGGAGGAGGAGGAAGGGCGAGGAGGAGGAAGAGGAAGAGUGGUGGAGGCGCGGGAAGGACCCGCCGGAAGUGGCGCGGCUGAAGCGAUACCUCCGAGCCGCUGGGGGGCGCCCUAACUACAAGCAGCUCUUCCGGAAGUGCCGCAGCCGCCGCGAGGUGCUGGAGGCGCUCAGGGGAGCCCUGCGGGACCUCGGGCUCCGCGGCGCUCCCUCCCUGGCCCGCUGCCGCCGCCUCGGCCGACGCCGCGAGGAAAAAGCCGAACUCGCCGCCCUCGACGCCUCCAACAUUUUACCAGCGAGAUCCCGGCGGAGAAACGCCGAAAAUGCCCCAAAAUCGGCGCCGGC